rnacentral:rRNA from 1 species
CCUAGGGUGGCAGCAGUGGGGAAUAUUGGACAAUGGGCGAAAGCCUGAUCCAGCCAUGCCGCGUGUGUGAAGAAGGCCUUCGGGUUGUAAAGCACUUUCAGUGGGGAAGAAAGCCUUGGGGCUAAUACCCUCGAGGAAGGACAUCACCCACAGAAGAAGCACCGGCUAACUCCGUGCCAGCAGCCGCGGUAAUACGGAGGGUGCGAGCGUUAAUCGGAAUUACUGGGCGUAAAGCGCGCGUAGGCGGUCUGAUAAGCCGGUUGUGAAAGCCCCGGGCUCAACCUGGGAACGGCAUCCGGAACUGUCAGGCUAGAGUGCAGGAGAGGAAGGUAGAAUUCCCGGUGUAGCGGUGAAAUGCGUAGAGAUCGGGAGGAAUACCAGUGGCGAAGGCGGUCUUCUGGACUGACACUGACGCUGAGGUGCGAAAGCGUGGGUAGCAAACAGGAUUAGAUACCCCAGUAGUC